rnacentral:rRNA from 1 species
AACGAACGCUGGCGGCGUGGAUAAGACAUGCAAGUCGAACGGGACAGACCGAGUAGCAAUAUUUGGAAUGUUCAGUGGCGAACGGGUGCGUAACACGUGGAUAACAUUCCGGAAAGCGGGGAAUAGCCCAGGGAAACUUGGAUUAAUACUGCACGUGGCCGCAAGGCUAAAGACGGGGACCGCAAGGCCUGUCACUUUCCGAUUGGUCCGCGGCCUAUCAGCUAGUUGGCGGGGUAAUGGCCCACCAAGGCUACGACGGGUAGCUGGUCUUAGAGGACGACCAGCCACACUGGAACUGAGACACGGUCCAGACACCUACGGGUGGCAGCAGUCGAGAAUCUUUCACAAUGGGGGCAACCCUGAUGGAGCGACGCCGCGUGGAGGAUAAGGUCUUCGGAUUGUAAACUCCUGUCAUGCGAGAACAAGGUACUCAGGCUAAUAACCUGAUUGUUUGAUGGUACCGCAAGAGGAAGAGACGGCUAACUCUGUGCCAGCAGCCGCAGUAACAC